rnacentral:rRNA from 1 species
AGAUUGAACGCUGGCGGCAUGCCUUACACAUGCAAGUCGAACGGCAGCACGGGAGCAAUCCUGGUGGCGAGCGGCGAACGGGUGAGUAACGCGUGGAUAACCUGCCCUGAGGUGUGGAACAACCGAGGGGAAACUCUGGCUAAUACCGCAUGAUACCGAGAGGUCAAAGGGGGCUCGCAAGAGCUCUCGCCACGAGGAGGGUCCGCGUUCGAUUAGCUAGUUGGUAGGGUAAUGGCCUACCAAGGCGACGAUCGAUAGCCGG